GAGAAAUCGGGGGAUAUAUAGGAAAUAUCGCAGAUAUUUCAAUCCUUGCCUCCAACCUCGUUCGCUCGCCCUUUCCACCUUCGCCACCCACCCCGACGCAGCUGAUAGGUUGCUUGUGCCGUUGCUCCUCUUCGCCUAAUUGAAGGUGCUUAAGUAAGAGCAAGCCAGUAAGGAAGCUAUUAUUGUUUGCUACUCCAGACCUCAAGGACUUAAACCAAGAGAUCACCAAGAAACUUCUCCAAUCGUGUAGGAAAGUGCUAAGAUCUUCCAGAUUUUGGUUUAAGGAUGAUUGGGCUAGAGUGAUUUCAGUCUCCCUUCCACGGUUUGCCGAUUCGUCAAGCAAGAACUAGCCGAUGAAGCUUUCUAUUAUGGCAUCAAAUCGCAGAUUAAGUCUGCGAUGUUGCCACCUCCAAUAUCAGGAAUCGGUUCUCGAUUGUCACAACAGUAUAGCCUGCCUACAACGACCUCCCAUCGGCAAUCACAGCUAGUACGGACGAGACAGUUUGGAUCGCACAAGGCAGUCAAAUAUCCAACUACGAUUUGAGGACAUAAUCUUGUUUUGCUGAGUUUAUCCUGAAAUAGCUGCCGUAUGAUCCAAAUCCGACCCGGGGAUGACUGUCAGGGUUAGGAGGGGAGUGGACUGGAGGGGGUGUAGAAGGCUAGUUGGUUGGUUAGGUCAAGGAGUGGUAGCAUGUGGCUUUGUCCAGGGCAGGGAAAGACUAGGAUGUGAGGGGACCAGUGGUUUUGAGCACAGGAGAUCGACAUGGUUGUUGGGGAGAGGAGGAUCAGAGGAAGAAGAAGAGGAAAAUAAAUUUUUAGUUGUAGGGUUGUGUUAGAGUGUGGGAUUUUGGGUACAAGCGUAAUUUAGUCCCUAAGUUUAGGAGAGUGACUAGCUUUCAAUGUCCACGUCAGUAGUUAACGCCCAAUUUGGACGGAGCAAUUAAAAUUGGACACGGUUGAUUAAAUUUGAGUGUAUAAGGGUGGUUUUGAUUAAAUUGAGACCGUAUGAACUAACAUGAUGUUUGAUCCUGUAGGGGCACUUUUGAUCGGAGUUGUACGGCAGUGGAUAUUCAUGGGUAAGGACCCAAAACUUUGCCCCUUUGUCUGAGUUAGCGAACACUAGGCCCAGCAAACUUCGAAGGACUUGAGAAUCCUAGGAAGCUUGCUGUUGUGUUCUUCCCGACAGCUCUUUGUAUAUGCACGGCAGUGAAUUGAUAAUUUCAAAAGAGGCUUGGCAAGAUGCAUGUGGCGUGGGAGCUAGAAAAGCAUGAUUUGUAGUGAAGAUGAGAGAUUUGCAGCAGCCAUGAAAGCUUGGAUUCGGAUUGUGGUUGAUGAGUUUUUGGAUUGGAAAUGGGUUUUUGGGAUACAUGCAUGUUGGGGGAAUUGCUUGGUUUUGUUUUUGGGUUUGCACAUAUGUAUCUAGGUUGGAUCUGAAUGGGUUUCUGGGAUGAGUAUGGGGAAUAGCUUGGGUUUGCUUUGCGUAUGGAUUACUUUGGGGUUGUUUUCGAAUGCCCUUCACAAUAGUAAGAACUCUCAAUUUAUAGGAGAGUUGAUGUGUGAUGUAGCAUUAAAUUAACUUGCUGCCUCUUACCUUUGGCGUGUAGCUGUGAUUAUAUCGCAGAAAUCCUACUGCUGGGAUUACCAUUCCAAGAUUCCCGCUGCUGAAAUCUGCUGCUGGGAUUGCAAUCCAGGAUUUCUGCCGUGUUGCUAGGAUUAUGUUUCUGCUGUUGGGAUUGGGAUUAUAUGUGGCAUUUAGUGUUUUGUUUGGUUUCAAA